AGCCGCCGCGGUAAUACGAAGGGUGCAAGCGUUACUCGGAAUUACUGGGCGUAAAGCGUGCGUAGGUGGUUCGUUAAGUCCGAUGUGAAAGCCCUGGGCUCAACCUGGGAAUGGCAUUGGAUACUGGCGGGCUAGAGUGCGGUAGAGGGCAGUGGAAUUCCCGGUGUAGCAGUGAAAUGCGUAGAGAUCGGGAGGAACAUCUGUGGCGAAGGCGACUGCCUGGACCAGCACUGACACUGAGGCACGAAAGCGUGGGGAGCAAACAGG
rnacentral:rRNA from 1 species